rnacentral:rRNA from 1 species
GACGAACGCUGGCGGCGUGCUUAACACAUGCAAGUCGAACGGUGAAGCGAGUGCUUGCACUCGUGGAUCAGUGGCGAACGGGUGAGUAACACGUGAGUAACCUGCCCAUCACUCUGGGAUAAGCACUGGAAACGGUGUCUAAUACUGGAUACGACCAACCCUUGCAUGGGGUGUUGGUGGAAAGAUUUAUCGGUGAUGGAUGGACUCGCGGCCUAUCAGCUUGUUGGCGGGGUAAUGGCCCACCAAGGCGACGACGGGUAGCCGGCCUGAGAGGGUGACCGGCCACACUGGGACUGGGACACGGCCCAGACUCCUACGGGAGGCAGCAGUGGGGAAUAUUGCACAAUGGGCGAAAGCCUGAUGCAGCGACGCCGCGUGAGGGAUGACGGCCUUCGGGUUGUAAACCUCUUUCAGCAGGGAAGAAGCGAAAGUGACGGUACCUGCAGAAGAAGCACCGGCUAACUACGUG